GCGUGGAGGCGCAGGCCUGGCAGCGAUGCGGAGUGGGAAAGGGACCUGAGCAGGCACACACCUUGUGCCCCGGCCCUGCGCCGUCUGCAGGCCGCUCCUGCGCCCCCAGAAGGUGCCAGCAUUUACAGUAUUCCAGAAGCUUCUGUGCGGACUCUCUGUUGACCUUCAGAUCCUCCCUGAAAGGCGGGUGUCCUGUCCCCCUGCUUUUACGAGGAGAAUCGGGGCUCAGAGGGUGAGCCAACUUGUUCAAGAUCACGUGGCUGGGGGCAGGCUGGGAGGGGCCAGUGGUGUGGCCCCCACUCAGGCCCCUGCUGCCUCCUAGCCCCUCGCUGUAGACAGCCGAGCAUGCCUGCCUGGGUGCUAUCCCACUCCAGCCCAGAGAGGCUUCUCAUCAGGGGAGAGAACCAGCGCCUGCCAGGCCCCCCUUCUGGGUGUCCUCAGGGAGGCGGGAAAGGCUGUGACACUCCUGCAUGUGAGCAGCUAGCAAACCAGCCCUAGUGGGCUCCCAGGCUGCCCCUCGUUCACCACCACAAGGACCCAGCCAUGUGGGGCUGGCCGGGCACUGGCUGGAGGAAGGUCCCUUUGUGGCGGGGAUGGGCUGGGCUGGCCAACAGGGCAUGGCAGCUCGUGGGACUGCAGAGAUCUCACCCUGGGGCUAGGGUCCUGCAGACCUAAAUCUUUCAUUUAACUUAAUUAGCCCUCGCUUCAAUAAGCCAAUGUGAUCAGUGGCUACAGUGGGGCUGUGGCGGGAGAGAAGGUAGAAUCAAACAGCAUGUGCACAGGGCCACACAGCCAGGGCUCCAGAGCGGCCUGGGGGAGCUGUAGGUCAGAGGUCAGGGAAGGCCUCUUGGGGUGGAACAGGGCCCAAGUGAUGUUGGAGGAGCAGCAAGCGAACGUCAGGGGAGGAGCGUGAGGUCAGGGUGGGAGCACACAGUCCAGCUCAGGGCAGCAAGGAGGCCAGAGGGCUGCAGCAAGGGCCGAGCUGCGGGGGCGGGGCCGUGCCGGUGGGAAUCCUGCAGAGGUUGCGGGCCUGGAGGAGGCCAGGCUGGGUGCCAGGAUGGACUGCCCUGGGGGUUUGCCCAAGACCUGCGGGCCCAGCAGGGGAAGGGGAGUGGGUGAGGUGGACCCCAGGGGAAGAGGAUGUCCCUCCCUCAAAUGACAAGGAGGCGGGCCACUGGGGGGACCUUCAGCCCAUGGGAGAAGGACCCUCCCAGUGCAUGGCGUGGAAAAUGGCUCGACCUCGACCUCGCUGGAGUGGGGAACCUAGGGGCCGCGCUGAAGGACUUCCCUGCUCACAGCCUGUUGCAAAUCCCAGAGGGGCACCCCCAGGGAUUGGCCUGGGGGAGCAGCUUCCAGUGAGGGGGCUCUGGAAUUCAGGUAAGUGGAGGCACUUGUGGUUUCUGGGUCACAGGGCCCCUUACCGGGAGCUGGGGCAGGGCGGAGCAGCCCCUGGCAGCAAUUUCCUGGAAGCAAGACAGUAAUGGAGCCCAGAGCGCGCCCCCAGGGAGCAGUGGCUUCUGCCUGAGAGCAUUUCCUGCAGGAUGGUCCCUGGGGGCUCAGGGUGGGGGAGGGUCCGCACACAUCUUCCAGCCUGGGAGGGGAGGGGCUGCAGUGCCCAGGAAGGCCUGCAGCAGCCGGUUCCAGCCGCCGAGUGACCCCUCAGGAGUCUGAGCCCAGCGUCCUGGUGAAGGAGGGAGGCCCCCGGAAGCCCUGGGCCUGGGUGCCACUGUGGCAGUGAGGGGUGACUCCCUGCUCCUCCUCUGUAAAGCGGGCCAUGGCCCUUCCUGGGUGGGGAUUGAGGCCUCAGCCAGGGGGCCACUGCUGCACAUUUUCAGGGACAGCCCCAGGCAGGCUCACUCAUCCCCAGGUCUUUAACCACACAGAGCAACCAGUGAAUGUGUGAAUGGCUUAAUCAACCCGCUGAUUGAUCCACCCGCCAUUGCCAUUGCGCAGCUGGCAGCCCAUGGUAGGUGGGGGAGUAUGGCUGGAAUCACGCCGGUGAGUGUCCAGUUUUGGGGAUGUGAAGGAGGCUGGGGUCUUAUUUGGAGGGGGAGGGUCAAGGCAGGGCCAGUGCCCUUGGGAGUCGCCCCGCAUGCCAGAGGGUGCCCGCCUCCCCAGAAGGACCCGGAGCUGUUUUGGAGCAUGUCCCACAGUCAGUAGUGGCCCCUCUGACCAGAAGACCCGGCUCUCCAUCGCUUCGCUCUUCCACAAAUCCUUACAUAAAACAAAACAAAUCGAAGUUUUAGUUUUACAUUUGGCUGUGCCAGCGUGAUCUCGGCAACGGCCUCUCUGCUGAGAAGCACCCUGCUCACCAAAGAAAACAGCGGCAAAGGGCUCACACAGAUACUUCAACAAGGACACAGAGGUGGCCAGAGGCCCCUGAGAAGAUGCCCAGUGUCACUCACCAUCCGGAGACCCAAACUGCAGUGAGACACCACCUCACACCCACCAGGGUGCUUGUGAAAAACAAAGGCCCAAAACAGGAAAGUCCCAAGUGUUGGCGAGGCUGCGGUGAAAUCAGUGAGAAUGUGCAAUGGCGAAGCUGCUGCGGAAGGAAGCAAGGACAGGCGCUCAAGCUCCGGUGCUCAGGCACACAGGGCCCCUAAGCACUGUCUGUGAGGAGUGGGUAAACCCGUACGGAAAGUGGUAUUUGGCCCCAAGAGGUUGGAACACGCAGGCACACGCCACGACCUGGAUGAAUGGGAACCACGGUGCCGCGUGAGCACAGACACAGAGGGCCACGCGUGUGAAGCCACCUGCGUGCAGUCCACAGAGACAGAGCACACGGUGGCUGCUGGGGCCUGGGGGACACUGACCACUUAAUGGAACCUGGCCUCCUUUGGGGGGAGAUGUUCUGGAACUGGAGAGAGGUGGGGGCCACACCACAUCGUAAAUGUGCCAAAUACCACUGAAUCAUGCACCUAACGGUGGCUGAUUUCAUGUCACGCGAAUUUCACCUUAAUUAAGACAACAAAAGAAAGGUCAGUGGAGCUCAGGGCCCAGCCCCUCUCCCUGUUGAGCCUCAGCACAUGGAUUCAGGGCCGCCCAGGCCCUGGGCACAGGCUCUCCCAGCUGUGAGGGCCACACCCCUGCUCUCUGGGGGACGGCCACUGACUUGACCCCAACGGCACCUCCUCCCAAACCCUGACACCCACUCCCUUCGAGCAGGCCAGGAGGUGGCUGGGCUGAGGCUGGCCGUCCCAGAACCACAGACUUGUUGGGGUGCUGUAAGGGACCUCCGCCACCCAACCCUGUCUGCUGCUGAAAAAUCCCCCAAAGAGGUUCAUGCGCUAACCGCGGAACCUGAGGGUCACCUUACGUGGCUAAAGGGAUGUACAGAGGUGUUGGAGGCAAGCACCUUGACCCUGGGUGGUCCAGCUGGGCCUAUAUGGAAUCACAGGGUCUUAGGGGGAGGCAGGAGGCCAGAGGCCGAGGAGCAAGGCAGGAUGGAGCCGGGGUGGGAGAGAGGCUGGAAGCCGCUAGGUUGCAGCUCUGAAGAUGGGGAGGGGCUGAGCACAGGCGCCUCGAGGAGCUGGGAAAGGCCAGAAAAGACUCUCACGGAGCCUCGGAGAAGCCAGCCCUGCCCACGCCUGGAUUUUAGACUUCUCAGCUCCAGAACUGGAGAGAAUAAAUUUGUGGUUUUUUUAAGCCACUGAUUGUGCGAACAUUUGUUACA